rnacentral:lncRNA from 1 species
GGAUUUCCACUAAAGAAAGAGAAAAAAAAAAUAGUGGAAAUAAUACGAUCAAAUUUAUUUAGAAAGUAAAAGAACAGAUAUAUGGAAAAAAAGAACUGCUAUAUAAAUGUGAGUGAGAAUAUUGAAACAAUACUAUUAUACUAAAUGUGUGGUGUACCAAACCCUCUUAUAAACAAUGCAAAACUCAAAGAGGAAUAAAAUCUGAUUCAUUUUGUCAAAGAUCAAAACUAGGGUUAAAUCUAUAUAUUUUCCACAAAACUCUAUCUAACUGGGAAAUAUGUACAUACAUAUGUAAGUUCUAAGAUGAAAACCAUACCAUCUCUAUUUUUGAAUAGAAGAACCUAGAAACAUCACUUUUAUGUCUAUUUUCAAAGAAGCUCAAUAAUGUACAGAAGAAGUAUCCUUCAGCAUUGCCUUUCUUUUUUUUGCAGUCUUCUGGCAUCUACUGAAAUCAACAAAAGCUUCAAUGGCAGAAGAACAUCAGCAGAUAAGCAGAGAGAAAAGGAAGACUCUUCUAGAUUUUGUCCAAAUUCAAAAGUAGAAGACGAUAUGACUUCAUAGUCUAGGAUUGGUAUCAGUAAACAAAUAUGCUGGUAUCUAAAGAGGCACAGUAAAAAUAAAUGGUUUAGACAACUCUUCUGAAACCAAUGAUGUUUCAACUGAUUGUUUACCAUAGAUCGGUUUGUUUUUCUUCCAGGCUUCUCUCUUUUCCAUUUACGGGAAUUGUCAUCCCGGACUCUUUGGCACUUCUUCUUUCUCCACUCCACCAAUGAGGAAAAAAUACUGCUGUGUUUUUGGACGGGGUUAAUCGAUUAAAAAUCCUGAAUCCUCUUCACUGUGACUAGGAACACAUGAGAAAGAAAGGAAAGCAGAGACACAGGAAGGGAGAGAGGGAAUACAACCUUUCUAUUUGGUUGGAUUUUACAUUGUCUGAUUUGAGGGUAUUGGAAGGAAUGAGGAGAGAGAAAGUAAGCCCAUUUUAGUUCUUGGAGAACCUGUGACUUUCAACCUAGUAUUAUGGUUAAUAUUAAGCGUCAACUUGACUGGGUUGAAGGAUGCAAAGUAUUGUUUCUGGGUGUGUAUGUGAGGGUGUUGCCAAAGGAGAUUUACAUUUGAGUCAGGGGACUGUGAGAGGCAAACACAGCCUUAAUCUGGGUGGGCACCAUCGCCUCAGCUGCAGCACAGCAAAAGCAGGCAGAAGAGGGUGGAAUGAGAUGACUCGCUGAGUCUUGCGGCCUCCAUCUUUCUCUGUGCUGAAUGCUUCCUGCCCUCCAACAUCAGACCCCAGAUCUUUGGCCUUUGGACUUGUGGACUUACACCAGUGGCUUGCCUAGGGCUAUUGGUCCUUCAGCUACAGACUGAAGGCUGCACUGUCAAUUUCUCUACUUUUGAGAUUUUGGGGCAGGGACUGAUCCUCUACUGGCUUCCUUGCUCCUCAACUUGAAGACGGCCUAUUGUGGGACUUUACCUUGUGACCACGUGAGUCAGUUAUUUUUAAUAAACUCCCUUUCAUAUAUACACAUAUCCUAUGAGUUCUGUUCCGCUAGAGAACCCAGACUAAAUCACCUAGCUUUUAUAUGUAAUCACAGAAUCACCGUAAUUUCUCCUAAUUUAGCUCUUGCUUUUGGCUACUGGCUGAGAAUACCCUUAGAUUUUCCAUUAACCAAUUCUCUCUCUAAAUGUUCAACCAGGCUGGGCGCGGUGGCUCACGCCUGUAAUUCCA